rnacentral:rRNA from 1 species
GUUCGGUCUGUAUCCGGUGUGGGCGUUGGAGUGUUGAGGGAUGUCGUCCGUAGUACGAGAGGACCCGGACGAAGCGACCUCUCGUGUCCCGGCUGUCCUGCCAAGGGCAACGCCGGUUAGCGAUGUCGCGCGGGGAUAACCGCUGAAUGCAUCUAAGUGGGAAACCCUCCCCAAGAUGAACACUCCCGGGUCGCGAGACCCCUGAAGGGCCGUGGGAGACUACCACGUUGAUAGGCGGCAGGUGCAAGGCGCGCGAGCGCUUCAGCCGAGCCGUACUAAUUGCCCGUGAGGCUUGAUCUCU